GUGACCAGGGCCACCACGUGAUAGAAAGAAAAGAUGCUCCUGAAAUUCUCAGUGUUCAUCCUUUGGAUUCAAUUGGCAUGGGAGAGCACCCAGCAGCUGGAGCAGAGUCCUCGGUUUCUAAGCAUCCAGGAGGGAGAAAAUUUCACAGUGUACUGCAACUCCUCAAGCAUUUUUGCCAGCUUUCAAGGGUACAAACAGGAGACUGGGGAAGGUCCUGUCCUCUUAAUGACAUUAACUAAGGGUGGAGGAAUGAAGGAGCAGAAGAGACUAAGGGCUCAAUUUGGUAAGGAAAGAAAGGACAGCUCCCUGCUCAUCACUGCAGCCCACCCUGGGGAUGCAGGCAUCUACCUCUGCGCAGGGGCACAGUGCUCCUGGGGUGCCGGCUGCCUGCACCCAAACCCUGCUGCAGGCCCCCACUCACACUGCUGCCACAUUCCUCCAGCUCCUCCUCACACACCUCUUGGCAUGAAUAGUGAUAACAACCCCAGCCCCUCGUGGAACCCUUUCUGAUGCUUUUCCAAAAAAUUUCCCACAUACACUGAAGAACAAGACCCCUCCGUUACAAGACAACCUUCUGGAAAUGUAGCUCACUGUUAGAACCAGAAACAAUAGGUGUCUAGAGCUCUCCAGUGUAGACAGUGGGGUGAUGAAGAGAGUUGAUGUGGAGGGACACAUGGAAGAUAUUA